GCUUCUCUCGAGUUUUCUUUCUCAGAAAGCUCUCAAGUUCAGUUCACUCGCGCUGUUCCUCCGCUUCUUCUUAUCAAAUGUCCAACGUUCGAUCUUUCUAUCGCCGAUUAUCCACUCCGGUUUUCUUCCCGGAAAACUCUCAAGUUCAGUUGAUGCGUCGAAUAGGUUUUCGUUGGUUUACCAUUUGCUUUGCCUUUUGUCUGUCGGCAAUCUCUGCUUCUCUCCAUCUUGGUCUCGCCUUCAUUUCGUCUGAAAUCCUGUGUUUUUCGUUUUGCAAAAUAUUCAUCGCAAAGACCGUCGUGUUCUUUUUUUGGGGGAGUUUGUUUGGGUUCUCUGUUUUGAGACAAGUUCUGCAUCUCUGUAAAUCGUUUCUCCCCAUUUGUCAUCGACUUUCCGACCAAUUUUUGGUGUGGUCUGGGUGCGAUCUUUGUUCAGAUCAUCGUAAAAAGAAAUUUAUUUAACUCAGUUUGUCGAGGCUUUGUCGGCUUUUGCGUUUGGUUUACUCCGCUGAUAAAUCUGAGAUUUAACAGGAGUUCGAAGGCUACUGUUGGUUUGGGAUGAAAAGAGAUUCUUUGCAAGCAUCACACAAAGGCCAUUGUUUAUUCCAUUUGUAGGCAAUGAUCUUUUACCAAUUGUCUAGGAGCUUCCAUAGGACCUGCUCUGUGCUGUUCCUUCGUGGUAACCUCCAUUGGGGAUGAAAAAACUGCAGACCACAGUGUUCACCUUUUUCCGAAAGAAAAUUAAUCUGAAAAUCCAAUUGAGGUAUAAGUCCCUGCGUUUACUUAAUGUUUAUAAUUCAUCCUUCCCCACCCUGUAUCCCAAAUUACAAUUGAAGGCUUCACGGUAUGUACCAAUGAUUCAAGCUUUAUUCCCUUUUUUUACCUAAUAUUUCAGGUUGACAUUCAAUCUUUACUAACAUUUUUUCUCAGGGGAACUAGCUGUUACCAAUCUAGAUAAUGACUGUCUUCUUUUGACUUAGUCUAGAAUACAAGACUAAUCCCUUCCCUGAUCACUGAGGGGUUUACUUCAAUAUCUAAAAGUAUUAGCCAAGACAUUCCCAUUACAGAUUUACCCUGUUCACAUGGCUUAAUUCAUCCAAAAAACAUUUGGUAAUAGAGAAAUUGUUAAAUUUAUCCAUAUAUCAUUUUUAUUGGUUAUUGGCUCCAUUUAACAAUUCCUCUGUUUCUAAAGUCUUCUUUCAUUUAGCUAAAGCAUGUGAGACAAGUACAUCUUUGGUGGGAACAUCUUUGUUUAUACUUUUAGUCAUCCAUUUUAAACCCCUCAGUGAUCAGCACAGUCAUUAGCCAUGUAUUACGAUUAAGCCAAUACAAGAAAGUUUUUACCUACAAAUUCGUAACAGUUGAUUCUUCUGAGAAGGAAAAAUGGAAAUGAUGAUCGUUUGUCCGAAUUAUGCAAGUUGAAAUAACUAAGCAACUUAUACCUCUGUACUAUACAGAAACAGCGAACUAAAGUAUCUGAUCCAUUUUUGUGUACCGUCUCCUUCUAUUAACAAUAUUAUUAUUCAAUUUAAUUAAACAAUGCUUUAGUUAUAGAUCAAAUUUUUUUUUCCAAAGAUGCAUCUGUAUAAGAUUUUCGAUUAGAAACCAACAUGAUUACAUUAGUGAUAAGACUGAAACUAUACAAUUACUAUUUGCUAAAUAUUACUUCUGAUAUAUGAGGUUCCUAAAGAAAAAUGCUAAAGCAUAUUGUUAGCCUAGAUUUAUAUUUCUUAUUACUUUCGUGCAGUGUUUGAUUCCUAACGUUCCAGUUCUGAAAACAAUUUGAUACAUACAAAUUUGUUCCUGCUUAUUGUUAUUUUACAGCAUAACCAGUUUUUGUGUAAAGCAUUGCCUCCAAUCAUCAUUCAUUUCAAGGUACACCAUUCUAGCACCAUCUUUUAUUUGCUUUGAUAAAAUUAUUUGUCAGCUGUUUAACUUAUUAACAAGAACAAUAUUAUUUCUACCCUUAGUUAAAUAUUAAAUACCUAAACACUUUCAUCCGUGAUAAUUGUCAAUUUACACACUUAACAACCUUCACAAACUCACAUUUGAAUCAACAUAUUUUUACACCCUACAACACAAAUUUAACCUUUGGAUUACAAAUGCAUUGUUUCUUACAAUUGCUCCAUUACCAAAACAAAGCUGUACCAUCUGUUAUUUCUAUAUUUUUAUUCCUUCCUGUAAAUACGAUGAAUUCACAUACAUGUUUGUAAAACUUUCUGCAAAUUUUAUGCAUACAUUUUUAAAACCCGCGGCAACGUGCGGGCACAAUUACUAGUGUCUACUAAAGUUUCAUAAUUUAAACGUGAAACCCAAUCUGUCGAACAAAAGGUAUUUUAUCCACUUCCUUUUUUGAACUUCCGUGCUGCUAUGCUUUCCUUUCUAUUCUUCUGUAGUAUUCUUCUUUCAGCAUGCGAGCCACCAGCUACGAUCUACUAUUUCACUAUAACCAUCAACAACUUGCUUAAAAACAAACAGAUGAAUGAAAAGAAAGCAUAAAAGAAAGAAAAAAAGGGGAACUUGCAGAGCUAUUGUAGGACGAAGAGGCCCGAGAUGGAUAUUAAAAGUUACGUAAACUUGCAGUUAAUACACCAGAGAGACAAAAGGAGAAUGUUAUUCUCUAAAUAUGAAGAAAUCAGAAGAGAAAAACACUAUCCUUUGUAUGAAAAGCUAGACCGUAGAUCAAGAGAAUGCAUUUACUUCUAUGUAUAAUCUCACACUUAAGAAAAUUAUAAAGAGUUGCACAUGGUUAUUUAUCAUAAUGGUGAAAGGGAGUUAAACUCUUAUAUGA